CUUGCCUAUGGCUUUUGCUAUAGCUUGCAUGUUCCAAACUGCAGUUCUGCUGUUCCGGAAUAAACCCAUUUUGCUGGUAAAUUAACUGGCUGUUUUACUUUCAAGGUCAGCCAUGGAUAUGGAUGAAAUCAGCUAAGGAGAAAAUGUAGGACAAUCAAAAGAAAAUAAGGAGAGAAUCCUAGCUGGGAAAGUAAAAGGAGACUAAAAAAGAAUAACUGGAACAAUGGAAGAGAAAACCUAGAGACAGUAAUAUGCUAAUAUACAGGAAAGGAGUUUCAAUGAAUUAGUAAACCCAACAAAUUGCUCAUUAACAGGACAAUUACACAAUCGAUCUGUAAGAAUUCUUAAGGAAAAGGAAUCUAGAAAAUUUUGAUGAAAACAAAGUAAAGGAAAAAUUACUUUACCAAGCAUCUUAGUAUAAAGAUAAAAUAUUGUGAAGGUAUAUUACUAGUAAGAAUGAACAGAUUAAUGGAUCAGAAGAAAUAGUCCAGGAAAACAUGCAGUCCUCAGAAGAAAAAUAGUAAAGGAAGUGAACAAAAAAAGUGUUGCAGGAGAAAAUAAAAGGAACCAUCCCUACUGAAAGACCCCUGUCUGUAAAGUUCUGGAGAUACAAACAAGCAGGGCACAUUUGAAGAAAUGGUGGAAAAGACAAGGGAUGAGUCUGGAGAAAAAGCAGGACCCUGCAGUGAAAGGGAGAUUUUCUUUCUGAAGACCUAGCUAGUAUGUAGACUUUGAGUAGAAGAUAUGGAAUGAAGAGAUCAAGUUCCAGGCUGGGACCUGGACCAAAGGCAGCCCCUUGGAUGUGACACCCUGGGCCUAUGUCUACUAAUUUCUUUAAAGAGAUAAGACCACAAUCUGCUAUUUGCAGCUCUGAAGUCAUCACGUUCUGAAAACAGAGACAUCUGGAGGAAUAGAAGAAGGACUCCAUAUUCAUCCAAGGUCUCCAAGAUAUCCAUACUCAUCCUGAACCUCCUUCCAUGCACAUAUGCAAAUCUGAGUAUGGAGUACAGUGUACUCCUUAAAGUAAAUAAAUUAAUUCCAUUGGAAAUCUCUGUUCUUGU